UACAACACAUUAUGCAGAGUGGUAUCA
rnacentral:sRNA from 1 species